rnacentral:rRNA from 1 species
AUUGAACGCUGGCGGCAUGCCUUACACAUGCAAGUCGAACGGUAACGCGGGGCAACCUGGCGACGAGUGGCGAACGGGUGAGUAAUAUAUCGGAACGUGCCCAGUAGUGGGGGAUAGCCCGGCGAAAGCCGGAUUAAUACUGCAUACGACCUACGGGUGAAAGGGGGGGAUCGCAAGACCUUUCGCUAUUGGAGCGGCCGAUAUCAGAUUAGGUAGUUGGUAGGGUAAAAGUCUACCAAGGCAACGAUCUGUAGCUGGUCUGAGAGGACGACCGGCCACGCUGGGACUGAGACACGGCCCAGACUCCUACGGGAGGCAGGAGUGGGGAAUUUCGGACAAUGGGCGCAAGCCUGAUCCAGCCAUGCCGCGUGUAGAAAGAAGGCCUUCGGGUUGUAAACCACUUUUGUCAGGGAAGAAACGCUCUGGAUUAAUACUCUGGGGUAAUGACGGUACCUGAAGAAUAAGCACCGGCUAACUACGUGCCAGCCGCCGCCGUAA